CCGCUAGGAGUUUUUUUUUUUGCUCAGGAUGAACGCUGGCGGCGUGCCUAAUACAUGCAAGUCGAACGCACAGCGAAAGGUGCUUGCACCUUUCAAGUGAGUGGCGAACGGGUGAGUAACACGUGGACAACCUGCCUCAAGGCUGGGGAUAACAUUUGGAAACAGAUGCUAAUACCGAAUAAAACUCAGUGUCGCAUGACACAAAGUUAAAAGGCGCUUUGGCGUCACCUAGAGAUGGAUCCGCGGUGCAUUAGUUAGUUGGUGGGGUAAAGGCCUACCAAGACAAUGAUGCAUAGCCGAGUUGAGAGACUGAUCGGCCACAUUGGGACUGAGACACGGCCCAAACUCCUACGGGAGGCUGCAGUAGGGAAUCUUCCACAAUGGGCGAAAGCCUGAUGGAGCAACGCCGCGUGUGUGAUGAAGGCUUUCGGGUCGUAAAGCACUGUUGUAUGGGAAGAACAGCUAGAAUAGGGAAUGAUUUUAGUUUGACGGUACCAUACCAGAAAGGGACGGCUAAAUACGUGCCAGCAGCCGCGGUAAUACGUAUGUCCCGAGCGUUAUCCGGAUUUAUUGGGCGUAAAGCGAGCGCAGACGGUUGAUUAAGUCUGAUGUGAAAGCCCGGAGCUCAACUCCGGAAUGGCAUUGGAAACUGGUUAACUUGAGUGCAGUAGAGGUAAGUGGAACUCCAUGUGUAGCGGUGGAAUGCGUAGAUAUAUGGAAGAACACCAGUGGCGAAGGCGGCUUACUGGACUGUAACUGACGUUGAGGCUCGAAAGUGUGGGUAGCAAACAGGAUUAGAUACCCUGGUAGUCCACACCGUAAACGAUGAACACUAGGUGUUAGGAGGUUUCCGCCUCUUAGUGCCGAAGCUAACGCAUUAA
rnacentral:rRNA from 1 species